GAAAAAAAUAAUAAAAUGGUAAAUGGAAAUCUACCCAUGUCAAUAAUUACAUGAAAUGCUAAUAACACUGAUUAUACAUCAGUUAAGAGAAAUUAUAGUUUAGGUAAAAAGUAAGAAUCGAGUGUUUGCUGUCUAACAGAACCCUAUUUUAGCUCUAAGGAAAGAGAUAGGCUAACAAUUUAAAAACAUUUUUAAAGGGUGUGCCAUAGAGGCCAUGUUCACAUCAGACACAGAGACUUCAGACCAAGACUGUUACCAGGGAUGGCAAGCAACACGACACCAGGGCAGUCCACCGAGUAGAUGUGACCGUCCUGCGUGUGUAAUCACUAAGCCACAGUUACAUGAAGAAACCAAAUAGAACUGAAAGAAGAAACUGAGCAAUCUGCAGUCAUAUGGGAAGAUCUCAACACUCUUUUCUAGUGAUGAGUUGAACAAGGAGACUGAAAAGCAGUAAGCAUGCAGAACCUGGACUGACGCUAGCUCACCUCAUUGACAUUUCAUCAAAAAACAACAGGAUGCCCAUUACUUUCCUGGGCCUCAGUGUUGAUCAUUUCUGUUGACCUGAGCUGACUGAUGUUCCUGCUGCUUUUCUCUGAUCCAUCUCCCAGCUGCAGAUUUGUAGGUAUCAGGGACUGUGUCAAGUUCUCUGAGUGCUUAAUGCCAAGCACCAGGAUUGGUAGAGAGGAAUUAUUCAGUCCAUGUUUUGGCUGGUGCAGCUUUUCAACAAGUAGUAGGAAAUAGACCUUCAAUUCAGGUCAUGUUCAGAUUUUCUGAAAAGGAGUGUGAGAAGAAUAGACAACUUAAAUUCUGCCCUUUAUCUCUAAUUGGUUUUGUUGGGAUGUGGAAGCCACCAUUUUUUUUUUUUUUUAACAGUGUUCAGAGGGUGAUGUCUACUUGUUGGAAAUUACUGACCUAAGAUAAAUAACCUAAGAAACAAAUGAAGCCUAACGUGUGGGCUGUGUUUCUUCCACAGUGACAAUAAAGGAGGAUGGUACCAACAAUAGCUAACUUUUACUUGGUGUUUGUUAUAAACCAUACCAACUUUCUAAUGCUUUGAUGCAUUCAACUCAUUUAGUCCUUUUAACAACUCUGCCUUUACUACAUUUUACAGAUAAAGAAAUAGAGGCACUGAGAGGUUAAUUAAUUUGCAGAAAUUGACUCUGCCUAUUAGUGGCCGAAUCAGGACUGAGCUCAGCAGCUUGGUUCUAUAGCUUGGGAUGUUGGCCAAGCCCUGUGCCUUCAUAGGCUGGCAAGGUGGGCUGGCACAGUAAGCAGGCCACAGCCAAACUUGUUUCAAAACAUCCUGGAGCAGGGGACAUGGAAACUGAGUGUUCGAGGCCCUGAAGGCUCAGACUAGGGUAGGCAUGUUAUUACCCAUGAUUUCUUUCUUUAUGUCUCUUCCCAGCUAAGAAUGGUUUUACAUUUAAAGGGUUUUAAAAAGAAUAAUCAGUAUUCACAAGAAGACAGCAUGUGACCCAAAAAUUUUCACUCACCCUUCGCGCACUCGCGCGGGCACACACACACACACACACACACACACUGAUCUUAGACCCUGAUACCUAGAAAGUGCAAGAGGUUAUAGGGGAGAGGGUUUGGAGAGAACAAGCAGAAGGCCAAAGGAGGUUCCUCUGUGUGGCCUGCUGAAAAUCUAGCCUUUAUCCUCAAGGCAGCUGGCAUACAGGCUCGAGUUUUAACCAAGAAGGAACAUACCCAGACUUUAACUGUAUUUAAUAGAUGAACAAACGAGAACAUUUUGUAGAGCUACCACUAUUUAAAUACUUAUUUAAAAAGAAUUGCCUUUUAUUUGUGAUUUUGGUGGUGUUGGGAAUAGAACCUGGGCCCUCUCAUACCUGGCACACACACUACCACUGAACUAUGCUCUUGUCCUGCCUUUUAUUUUUAAUUCUAAGAAUCUCCUGGGUAGUCGGUGAGUCAUUGCUUGAGCUAAUGAGGUUGGUUGAGUCUGGAAGCCUUCUUCAUGCUGAACGAGUGCUUGCAAAGGCAUCUGCAGCACAGGUAAACUGCUGUUUUCUUAGUGACAGUUCCAAGAGCUUCUUAAAGUAGAUAGAUAGCUGAGAAUCAGGAGUCCUGGGUCCCAGACCCUGCUCUGCUCCUGGCUUGUGUCCUCUGGCAGCUCCCUCCAGAGGCUACAGGCCCAGUGGUUAAUUGCAUGGGCCCAGCUUGCCAGCUGCCAC
rnacentral:lncRNA from 1 species